rnacentral:rRNA from 1 species
UACCGGGGGGGUAAGCGUUGUUCGGAAUUACUGGGCGUAAAGGGCUCGUAGGCGGCCAACUAAGUCAUACGUGAAAUCCCUCAGCCUAACUGGGGAACUGCGUGUGAUACUGGAUGGCUUGGAUUUGGGAGAGGGAUGCGGAAUUCCAGGUGUAGCGGUGAAAUGCGUAGAUAUCGGGAGGAACACCAGUGGCGAAGGCGACUACCUGGCCUGUUCUUGACGCUGAGGCGCGAAAGCUAGGGGAGCAAACGGG